rnacentral:snRNA from 1 species
UAAGUCCGUUCGGCGGAAGCGUCGUUCGGA